AGCUGGUGAGUCUGAGGAGCAAGUAACAAGAGAAGAGAUCCCAGUGCCUAGUGACAAAGAUGAAGAAGAAGAGAAUGCACCUGAGCCUAACAUGGACUUCGCAGAGAAAGACAUUUAACAAGAGCCAAAAGCAUUACCAUUAGUAUGGACACCUCGAGGGCUACAGAAUAAUUAAAAGAUUCAAGGAAAAGGAAAAAUAGUUCUUGAGUAGGAAUCUAUAUGUACUGUCUGUGGCAAUAUCUCAGUCAGAAAAUCUGUUUUUAAUUUCUUUUUCUUUGAUCAGUUUAAUGUUUACAUUAGUUAACUAGUAAGCUUGUUGUCUGAUAUCUUCCUUAUAUGGUUACAUAGGUAGGAUAUCUAAGUAGACGUAUAGUGGCAGUCUAUCUUCGUUUCCUAUUGUUGUGUUUGUUUUUUGUUUGUUUGUAUUUUGUGUUUGUUUGUUUUUUUCAAUUGUAACAUUUUGUUAUGUAUAUUUUUUGUUUGAUUUUUUGUUACGUUUUUUGUCACUUGUAACAUGUAUGUCCACCUAAUAUUCAAGUCUAUUACUCUUCGCAUGUUUCUAUAGACCAUAGUUCUUAGACCACAUUCAAACCUAAUGGAUAAAGGGAAACACAACGAUAUCACCGGUGAAGCCAGCCUGAAAUCCUGUACAGCUGGUUAUACAAUUUGUCUUUCGCCUCUUUGACUCUUAAAACAUAACUCUUGUAAAUUUUGAAACAAAAUUUGAAAUUUCUCAUGGUACAGGCCUGCAACAAGUCGAAAAGGUGGCUACGCUCCCAGUAUAAUAAGACAUUUCAGUCUGCAUGCUGAUCUAUCCAUUGAAGUUAUUCCCUAUUAUCAGUAAUAAUAUAGCUGAGUAAAUAUAUUGGUUAGAAAUGCUCCACCGGUUUUAGACCUAAUGUUUGGCUCAUUACCAUGGUAAUUUUUUAGCUUGUUCAGAGCUUGUUCUCAGUUUAAAAGGGACUCGAUGACCUGAUUACUUUCCUUCCACACUUCUAUCUCAGUUUUUCCCAAAACUGCGAUUUCAUAAUAGGACAUGAAUCAUGAUAGCUGACCGAUGCAAGUGUUUAAUUAACGCUUAAAUUAACUUUCGAAAGUUCAGUUUCAAUGGUGUCUCUAAUUUAGAAAACAGGCAAGCAAAUAUUGAACAAACACCUAGAAUUUAAUUGGG